GUAGCGAAGGGCCGUCGCACACCCUGCCAAGGUUGGGGUCGUGGGUUCGAAUCCCAUCGCCCGCUCCA
rnacentral:tRNA from 1 species